AAAGGGUGCGUAGGCGGCCUGUUAAGUCAGGGGUGAAAGACGGUAGCUCAACUAUCGCAGUGCCUUUGAUACUGAUGGGCUUGAAUGGACUAGAGGUAGGCGGAAUGAGACAAGUAGCGGUGAAAUGCAUAGAUAUGUCUCAGAACACCGAUUGCGAAGGCAGCUUACUAUGGUUUUAUUGACGCUGAGGCACGAAAGCGUGGGGAUCAAACAGGAUUAGAUACCCUAGU
rnacentral:rRNA from 1 species